AGGGCACCACCAGGAGUGGAGCCUGCGGCUUAAUUUGACUCAACACGGGGAAACUUACCCGGCCUGGACACUGGAAGGAUUGACAGAUUGAGAGCUCUUUCUUGAUUCAGUGGGUGGUGGUGCAUGGCCGUUCUUAGUUGGUGGAGCGAUUUGUCUGGUUAAUUCCGAUAACGAACGAGACUCUAGCCUAUUAAAUAGGCUCUCGGCUUUUAAACGCCGGGAGGACUUCUUAGAGGGACAGGUGGCGGUUCAGCCGCACGAAAGAGAGCAAUAACAGGUCUGUGAUGCCCUUUGUUGUCCGGGGCCGCACGCGCGCUACACUGAAGAGAUCAGCGUGCUUUACGUUCCUGCUCCGACCGGAGUGGGGAACCCAGUGAACCUUCUUCGUGAUUGGGAUAGAAGAUUGUAAUUAUUCUUCUUGAACGAGGAAUUCCCAGUAAAUGCGAGUCAUAAGCUCGCGUUGAUUACGUCCCUGCCCUUUGUACACACCGCCCGUCGCUACUACCGAUUGAACGAUCU
rnacentral:rRNA from 1 species